rnacentral:rRNA from 1 species
AGGACGAACGCUGGCGGCGUGCUUAACACAUGCAAGUCGAACGAGGCGCUUGCGCCUAGUGGCGAACGGGUGAGUAACACGUGAGCAACCUGCCCUUGGCUCUGGGAUAGCCUCCGGAAACGGGGAUUAAUACCGGACAUGACCUUCUCCUGCAUGGGGGAGGGUGGAAAGUUUUUCGGCCAGGGAGGGGCUCGCGGCCUAUCAGCUUGUUGGGGGGUAACGGCCCACCAAGGCGACGACGGGUAGCCGGCCUGAGAGGGCGACCGGCCACACUGGGACUGAGACACGGCCCAGACUCCUACGGGAGGCAGCAGUGGGGAAUAUUGCACAAUGGGGGAAACCCUGAUGCAGCGACGCCGCGUGCGGGAUGAAGGCCUUCGGGUUGUAAACCGCUUUCAGCAGGGGCGAAUUCAGACGGUACCUGCAGAAGAAGCGCCGGCUAACUACGCGCCAGCAGCCGC